rnacentral:rRNA from 1 species
UAAGGUUAAGUUAAUAAGGGCGCACGGUGGAUGCCUUGGCACUAGGAGCCGACGAAGGACGUGACAAACGACGAUAUGCCUUGGGUAGCUGUAAGUAAGCGAUGAUCCAGGGAUUUCCGAAUGGGGGAACCCAACAGGUAAUACCUGUUACCCACAUCUGUUAAGGAUGUGAGGAGGAAGACGCAGUGAACUGAAACAUCUAAGUAGCUGCAGGAAGAGAAAGCAAAAGCGAUUGCCUUAGUAGCGGCGAGCGAAACGGCAGGAGGGCAAACCGAAGAGUUUACUCUUCGGGGUUGUAGGACUGCAAUGUGGACUCAAAGAUUAUAGAAGAAUGAUUUGGGAAGAUCAGCCAAAGAGAGUAAUAGCCUCGUAUUUAAAAUAGUCUUUGUACUUAGCAGUAUCCUGAGUACGGCGGGACACGUGAAAUCCCGUCGGAAUCUGGGAGGACCAUCUCCCAACCCUAAAUACUCCCUAGUGACCGAUAGUGAACCAGUACCGUGAGGGAAAGGUGAAAAGCACCCCGGGAGGGGAGUGAAAUAGAACCUGAAACCGUGUGCCUACAACAAGUUCGAGCCCGUUAAUGGGUGAGAGCGUGCCUUUUGUAGAAUGAACCGGCGAGUUACGUUAUGAUGCGAGGUUAAGUUGAAGAGACGGAGCCGUAGGGAAACCGAGUCUGAAUAGGGCACCUUAGUAUCAUGACGUAGACCCGAAACCAUGUGACCUACCCAUGAGCAGGUUGAAGGUGCGGUAAGACGCACUGGAGGACCGAACCAGGGCACGUUAAAAAGUGCUUGGAUGACUUGUGGGUAGCGGAGAAAUUCCAAACGAACUUGGAGAUAGCUGGUUCUCUCCGAAAUAGCUUUAGGGCUAGCGUCGACAUUAGAGAUUCUUGGAGGUAGAGCACUGUUUGGGUGAGGGGUCCAUCCCGGAUUACCAAUCUCAGAUAAACUCCGAAUGCCAAUGAAUUAUGGUCGGCAGUCAGACUGCGAGUGCUAAGAUCCGUAGUCGAAAGGGAAACAGCCCAGACCACCAGCUAAGGUCCCAAAAUAAUUGUUAAGUGGAAAAGGAUGUGGGGUUGCACAGACAACUAGGAUGUUAGCUUAGAAGCAGCUAUUCAUUCAAAGAGUGCGUAAUAGCUCACUAGUCGAGUGACCCUGCGCCGAAAAUGUACCGGGGCUAAAACAAUUUACCGAAGCUGUGGAUACCUUUAUAGGUAUGGUAGGAGAGCGUUCUAUGUGUGAUGAAGGUAUACCGUGAGGAGUGCUGGAACGCAUAGAAGUGAGAAUGCCGGUAUGAGUAGCGAAAGACAGGUGAGAAUCCUGUCCACCGUAAGACUAAGGUUUCCAGGGGAAGGCUCGUCCGCCCUGGGUUAGUCGGGACCUAAGGAGAGACCGAAAGGUGUAUCCGAUGGACAACAGGUUGAUAUUCCUGUACUAGAGUAUGUAGUGAUGGAGGGACGCAGUAGGCUAACUAAAGCAGACGAUUGGAAGAGUCUGUCUAAGCAGUGAGGUGUGAAUUGAGUCAAAUGCUUAAUUCUAUAACAUUGAGCUGUGAUGGGGAGCGAAGUUUAGUAGCGAAGUUAGUGACGUCACACUGCCAAGAAAAGCUUCUAGCGUUUAACCAUACUCUACCCGUACCGCAAACCGACACAGGUAGUCGAGGCGAGUAGCCUCAGGUGAGCGAGAGAACUCUCGUUAAGGAACUCGGCAAAAUGACCCCGUAACUUCGGGAGAAGGGGUGCGGACUCUAAG